GAAUCAACGCUGGCGGCGUGGAUUAGGCAUGCAAGUCGAACGCGAAAGGGGAGCAAUCCCUGAGUAGAGUGGCGAACUGGUGAGUAACAGGUGGGCAACGUGCCCCAAAGUGGGGGAUAACUCCGAGAAAUCGGAGCUAAUACCGCAUGCGGUGUUUCAGACCUCGGUUCGAAACAUUAAAGGAGUAAUUCGCUUUGGGGAUCCGGCCCGCCCCGGAUUAGCUAGUUGGUGAGGUAACGGCNCACCAACGGCGACGAUCCGUAGCUGGUCUGAGAGGAUGGUCAGCCACACUGGAACUGAGAUACGGUCC
rnacentral:rRNA from 1 species